rnacentral:misc_RNA from 1 species
GAUGAAGAAGUUGCGAAAUGCGAUACGUAAUGUGAAUUGCAGAAUUCAGUGAAUCAUCGAGUCUUUGAACGCACAUUGCGCCCCCUGGUAUUCCGGGGGGCAUGCCUGUCCGAGCGUCAUUGCUGCCCUCAAGCACGGCUUGUGUGUUGGGCCUCCGUCCUCCUCCCGGGGGACGGGCCCGAAAGGCAGCGGCGGCACCGCGUCCGGUCCUCGAGCGUAUGGGGCUUCGUCACCCGCUCUUGUAGGCCCGGCCGGCGCUUGCCGACACAUCAAUCUUUUUUCCAGGUUGACCUCGGAUCAGGUAGGGAUACCCGCUGAACUUAAGCAUAUCAAUAAGCGGAGGA